AAGUCGAGUAAAUGGAGAUGAUUAAAAUAUUCUAUCUCAAUAUGUAUUUCAUAACAUAAAUAUUCAUUUCAUUUAAAUAAUCAACAUGGCUUAUGGGUAUUUUAAAAGCUUGGCUCCUGCCAAAAUCAUUCUCGGGGAUACCUUGGCCAAGGCAUCUAACCGAGUCUGCCAAGGCUGUAAAAAUUUCGUAUACACAUAAACAAAUUAUUAGUUUGAAAAACACAACCGUUCCUUGGCAUUAGUGGAGUUCAUCAUCACGAGGUGGUUCGGCGUGACGUGAACUCUAACCAUACCUCAGGAGAUACCCUACG
rnacentral:lncRNA from 1 species